UGUUUAUAACAUGGAGUUUGAUGCAGGUCAGGUGGUAUUUUAUGGUGUUUUUAACAUGUAGUUUGGUGCAGGUCAGGUGGUAUUUUAUGGUGUUUUUAACAUGUAGUUUGGUGCAGGUCAGGUGGUAUUUUAUGGUGUUUUUAACAUGUAGUUUGGUGCAGGUCAGGUGGUAUUUUAUGGUGUUUUUAACAUGGAGUUUGGUGCAGGUCAGGAGGUGUGGUGCCAAUGUUAGAUGUGGUAUUUUAUGGUGUUUUUAACAUGGAGUUUGGUGCAGGUCAGGUGGUAUUCUAUGGUGUUUUUAACAUGUAGUUUGGUGCAGGUCAGGAGGUGUGGUGCUAAUGUUA